GAUGAACGCUGGCGGCGUGCCUAAUACAUGCAAGUCGAGCGAACGGACGAGAAGCUUGCUCCUCUGACGUUAGCGGCGGACGGGUGAGUAACACGUGGAUAACCUACCUAUAAGACUGGGAUAACUUCGGGAAACCGGAGCUAAUACCGGAUAAUAUUUUGAACCGCAUGGUUCAAUAGUGAAAGACGGUCUUGCUGUCACUUAUAGAUGGAUCCGCGCUGCAUUAGCUAGUUGGUAAGGUAACGGCUUACCAAGGCAACGAUGCAUAGCCGACCUGAGAGGGUGAUCGGCCACACUGGAACUGAGACACGGUCCAGACUCCUACGGGAGGCAGCAGUAGGGAAUCUUCCGCAAUGGGCGAAAGCCUGACGGAGCAACGCCGCGUGAGUGAUGAAGGUCUUCGGAUCGUAAAACUCUGUUAUUAGGGAAGAACAUAUGUGUAAGUAACUAUGCACGUCUUGACGGUACCUAAUCAGAAAGCCACGGCUAACUACGUG
rnacentral:rRNA from 1 species